rfam:Ktedonobacter racemifer DSM 44963 Krac_Contig203, whole genome shotgun sequence.
GAGAGCGCCGUGCCUGGAAACUCGCAUGCGGCGUUCGGAGGAGGGCCGGGGGAAAAGGGCUGUUUAUGCAGUACCUCGCCCGCGGCCUAUCCUAC